CGAGCGAUGGAUUAAGAGCUUGCUCUUAUGAAGUUAGCGGCGGACGGGUGAGUAACACGUGGGUAACCUGCCCAUAAGACUGGGAUAACUCCGGGAAACCGGGGCUAAUACCGGAUAACAUUUUGAACCGCAUGGUUCGAAAUUGAAAGGCGGCUUCGGCUGUCACUUAUGGAUGGACCCGCGUCGCAUUAGCUAGUUGGUGAGGUAACGGCUCACCAAGGCAACGAUGCGUAGCCGACCUGAGAGGGUGAUCGGCCACACUGGGACUGAGACACGGCCCAGACUCCUACGGGAGGCAGCAGUAGGGAAUCUUCCGCAAUGGACGAAAGUCUGACGGAGCAACGCCGCGUGAGUGAUGAAGGCUUUCGGGUCGUAAAACUCUGUUGUUAGGGAAGAACAAGUGCUAGUUGAAUAAGCUGGCACCUUGACGGUACCUAACCAGAAAGCCACGGCUAACUACGUGCCAGCAGCCGCGGUAAUACGUAGGUGGCAAGCGUUAUCCGGAAUUAUUGGGCGUAAAGCGCGCGCAGGUGGUUUCUUAAGUCUGAUGUGAAAGCCCACGGCUCAACCGUGGAGGGUCAUUGGAAACUGGGAGACUUGAGUGCAGAAGAGGAAAGUGGAAUUCCAUGUGUAG
rnacentral:rRNA from 1 species